AUCCCGAGUCCUUUUAGUCUGAGACAAAGACAAGACCGAGACCAAAUGCGGCCAAGACCAAGACCUUUAAAAAAUGGUCUUAAGACCGGUCUCAAGACCAAGACGAGUGCUACAACACUAGGCUGAAGCACAGAAAAUGAAAUAUGUAAAUAUUUGAAGUGAGAUAUUUCUUUCUCACUUAUCUGGUUUUAACCACAUACUCAGAUCAUGUUUAUGUGUGUGCGUGUGUGCACACUUCCUGUACAUCUUUAUUAACACUAUAGCUAAACUGUAGAUGCAGAUAUAAAAGAGAAGUGGGUCCAGGACAAGGGCAGAUUCUAUGUUUUCUCCACUGAUACCAUGGACUGGAACAGCAGCAGAGAACGCUGUCAGGAUCUGGGUGGAGACCUGGUCAUCAUCAACAGCAUGGAAGAGCAGGAAUUUCUCUCUGAAAGAGUCAUUGACUACCACUGGAUUGGCCUGACCGACAGCCAGACAGAGGGGGUGUGGCUUUGGGUGGACAACACCCCCUUAAACAACAACCUCUUAUGGGAGUCACCCC